rnacentral:tRNA from 1 species
GCCCUGGUAGUAUAGUCUGGCCUAUUAUGCUGGCCUGUCACGCCGGAGAUCCCGGGUUCGAAUCCCGGCCAGGGCGCCA